rnacentral:rRNA from 1 species
CUACGUGCCAGCAGCCGCGGUAAUACGGAGGGUGCGAGCGUUAAUCGGAAUAACUGGGCGUAAAGGGCACGCAGGCGGUUAUUUAAGUGAGGUGUGAAAGCCCCGGGCUUAACCUGGGAAUUGCAUUUCAGACUGGGUAACUAGAGUACUUUAGGGAGGGGUAGAAUUCCACGUGUAGCGGUGAAAUGCGUAGAGAUGUGGAGGAAUACCGAAGGCGAAGGCAGCCCCUUGGGAAUGUACUGACGCUCAUGUGCGAAAGCGUGGGGAGCAAACAGGAUUAGAUACCCUGGUAGUCCACGCUGUAAACGCUGUCGAUUUGGGGAUUGGGCUUAGAGCUUGGUGCCCGUAGCUAACGUGAUAAAUCGACCGCCUGGGGAGUACGGCCGCAAGGUUAAAACUCAAAUGAAUUGACGGGGGCCCGCACAAGCGGUGGAGCAUGUGGUUUAAUUCGAUGCAACGCGAAGAACCUUACCUGG